UGGAGUUUGCUCAUAUGUGCAUGGCCCUUGUGUGCAGGUGCAGCUACUGCUCAGCGUGCUCUACAAAGACAAGGUAGCAGAUGUGGUGUAUGUUAAGUGGUUUGAUGCUCCAGAAGAUGAAUGGAACCGUGAACUGAAUCUCCGUCCGCUGCGAUGGCAGAGGUAAUAAAAGUAGUUUACACACAGUCGUAAUUUCAGUUGUAUACCUCCCUCUCUUGCACUAACACUAACCAUUGAUUGUCCACACAACCUCCACUUCCAGGGUGACUGGAAAACCAGCAGCAGCUUAUGGGUGUAUCCCGUUUGAGUCCAUUAUCGAGAGAGUGUGCAUUGCCCUACCAACUCAUAGGGGGUCUAACAGCGGCUAACUUCUUAGGCGGGGCUGUCANNNNNNNNNNNNNNNNNNNNNNNNNNNNNNNNNNNNNNNNNNNNNNNNNNCAUCCAAGCUAGCCUUUAAGCUUCACGCCUGGUAUGUGUGCUUGAAGCUAUGUAUGUGCUGCAGAUGUUGCUGUAACCAUCUAAGAUUUUAUAUGCCGCUACACGCCUAACCCACGUUGCACGUAUCAACGUACCUGUGUACCAGAGAGCACAGGUACUCAGGGACAAGAAACAUGCCAUCGGCCGGUCAGGUCUCAGCCUUCCUUGGAUACAGGCCAUGGAAAAGGUUAAGAAUCUGCAAGGUCCGUGUAUGCAAGCUUGUAUUUUCCCAAAAUGUUGACCCAAUGGCAUCACACUAUAUGCAUGUCUUGCAUUUUUUUGCAAACAGAUGAAGCAGCCUGGGGCAUGGAGGGUGCAAAGUACCUGCAGCAGUGCCUUACAGAGCAGCUGGUGGCUGCCUGGGGGGUGUCUGCACAGGAUAUGGAUCAUGCCAAGGUAGGCUCGCUGGUUACAUAGGUUAAUGAUACAGUACUAGCAGGUUUAGCAGUGAUAAUUUAGCUAGUUGUUGACUAUGCUAUGCAUGUGAACUUCACACUUGUAGGUUGUCAUCAGGUGUAUGGGAUGUCUUUACUACGCCCCACUUCACACCGUCACUUACAUCCGUGGUGGCGGCCUGGCUAAGUCCCUUUUCAAGACCCAGGCAUGCCCAGUGUGCGACAUUUCAAUCCUGAACAACGACACCCCAGGGGGCUAUGGUGUGUGGUACGGACGGGUAGGCAAAUGGAGGUUUGGUUUCCAUUCGUUGUGUGUAUGUACUUCAGUUCUCUGGAGUUUGCUCAUAUGUGCAUGGCCCUUGUGUGCAGGUGCAGCUACUGCUCAGCGUGCUCUACAAAGACAAGGUAGCAGAUGUGGUGUAUGUUAAGUGGUUUGAUGCUCCAGAAGAUGAAUGGAACCGUGAACUGAAUCUCCGUCCGCUGCGAUGGCAGAGGUAAUAAAAGUAGUUUACACACAGUCGUAAUUUCAGUUGUAUACCUCCCUCUCUUGCACUAACACUAACCAUUGAUUGUCCACACAACCUCCACUUCCAGGGUGACUGGAAAACCAGCAGCAGCUUAUGGGUGUAUCCCGUUUGAGUCCAUUAUCGAGAGAGUGUGCAUUGCCCUACCAACUCAUAGGGGGUCUAACAGCGGCUAACUUCUUAGGCGGGGCUGUCAGCCGGGCUCAUUAUCAGCUGCUGAC
rnacentral:lncRNA from 1 species